ensembl:lncRNA
GGUAAGGUGUGAGUUCAUUAUGUCUGGUGAGGUAAGGUGUGAGUUCAUUACGUCUGGUGAGGUAAGGUGUGAGUUCAUUACGUCUGGUGAGGUAAGGUGUGAGUUCAUUCAUUACGUCUGGUGAGGUAAGGUGUGAGUUCAUUCAUUAUGUCUGGUGAGGUAAGGUGUGAGUUCAUUCAUUACGUCUGGUGAGGUAAGGUGUGAGUUCAUUCAUUACGUCUGGUGAGGUAAGGUGUGAGUUCAUUAUGUCUGGUGAGGUAAGGUGUGAGUUCAUUAUGUCUGGUGAGGUAAGGUGUGAGUUCAUUACGUCUGGUGAGGCAAGGUAUCAUGGAGUCUGUGUGUGUGUGUGUGUAUGUGUGUGUGUGUGUGUGAGAGUGUGUGAUUAGCAGACAGGAUAAGUAAAAGGAAUUGUUAGGUGCAAAUUCACUUAAGUGAACUCAGGACUCGGGAGUUGCAUAUAAGCAUAUUUUUUCCACAACAAGAAGCUUGUCGGGCUGACCCACAUCCUGGCAGGCCAGAGAGAGGCAUGGGCUCACUCCCAGACUGCAGCAGACGAGAGAGAAGCAAAAUUAAACACAUCACACAAGAUUUAUAUAGAA